CCCGCCGGCGACCGGCGCACGGGUGAGUAACACGUAUGAAACCUGCCCGUAGCAGGGGGAUAAGCGGAAGAAAUUUCGUCUAAUACCGCGUAACAACCCAUGGAGGCAUCUCUGUGGGUUUAAAGGAAGCGAUUCCGGCUACGGAUGGUCAUGCGUCGCAUUAGCUUGUUGGCGGGGUAACGGCCCACCAAGGCGACGAUGCGUAGGGGUUCUGAGAGGAAGGUCCCCCACACUGGUACUGAGACACGGACCAGACUCCUACGGAAGGCAGCAG
rnacentral:rRNA from 1 species